UACGAGGGGGGCAAGCGUUGUUCGGAAUCACUGGGCGUAAAGCGCACGUAGGCGGAUUGUUAAGUCAGGGGUGAAAUCCUGGAGCUCAACUCCAGAACUGCCUUUGAUACUGGCGAUCUCGAGUCCGGGAGAGGUGAGUGGAACUGCGAGUGUAGAGGUGAAAUUCGUAGAUAUUCGCAAGAACACCAGUGGCGAAGGCGGCUCACUGGCCCGGUACUGACGCUGAGGUGCGAAAGCGUGGGGAGCAAACAGG
rnacentral:rRNA from 1 species